UUGGUUAAAGCCAAAAAGAGGCAUAUCACUGUUAAUGAUAGAAAUGAAGAUACUCUUCUAACCAAG
rnacentral:tRNA from 1 species